ensembl:lncRNA
GGAGAAGGUAGAGGAAUGGAUGCUGUUGGAUUGGGGUGCUGUGCAUUGAAGGUGGUUCUGUUUUUCACUUCAUUCUCCCAGCUCGUGUUGCAUUAGAUAUAGCAGAAACCAAAACCAAGGUUAAGAGAGAGUCAGUCUCAAAUGAUUUGUCUGGCACGAAUAGCUUUCCAGUAAACCAAGGAGGCUUUAACAGCCUGCCAUGUUUCCCUUUGUCAGAGUCCUGCACAGAACAUGCUAUGCUGGCUUUGCUCUCUGCUAUCAGCACCUUCUGUUGCAGCCCUGCUGUGCAGUCAGGCCCUGUGGACUCAGCUCCCUGCAGCACAACCUCCUUGUGCAGACCUGUCCUCAUGCACCUCUACUGUACCGCAUUUAUUAAUGAAGAACAUGAAUAGCCAUAUCUGUAAGUAUCAAGAUCAAAAAACUGAGCUGCUCCUUGGACAUCAGACACUCAGUGAGCAUCCUACGGCCAGGAGCAUCUGCAGCAGAAGUUCUAAGUCACAGCUUGUACCACUGAUGGAGCACCUGAUGGUAGGCAGGGCCAGCACAGGAGAACUCAGGUGCAUGCAAUGUACCUAAGUGAUGGAAGGGGUGGGGCCAGGAUCCACCCCUUGCCAGACCUCUUUUACCAGACCUCCACCACCUUCUUGCCAGACCUCCACUGGUGGUGGAGGCAAAGAUAUUUUGAGGAAGAUCCCUGCCUAUCUGAAGCCUUUUAAAGGGCAAACUGCCUCUCCUUCAAAUGGAACUUCUCUGAAAUUAAAACCCAUAUCAUUAAAAAAGGAAGAAGACUUGGAUGAGCAGGAUCCUUGGAUCCUGGUUGAAUUCAAGAACAAAAAGAAGGCCAAGCAGACUAAAAUCCAACUAGAUUAUCUGGGAACCUCAGAUCCUCUAGAAUUAAGAUAGGAGGAUCUCGAGGAAGCUUACCAGCUAAUUCCUAUUAAUAGAAUAAAACCAAACAGGAGAAAGUAUGGAAAGCAAACAGAAGAGCCUUCCCUUGUCAUAGUCCCCGAGCUUCAGCAGGAGCUUACCAGCCUGCCACUGGGAUGCAAAGCAGAAAGCUACUCUAAGGACAGUGCCUUGUAAGUGCAUUGCAGAGAAGAGGCAAGCUGCUUUUAGUAGAGUUGUCCCAUAUGAGAUGCCAGGAAGGUUUUGGUGUGUACAGUAACAUGGAUCACCCUGACUGCAGUUGCCAAAUGUCUUUCCUUCCACCCUACUGAAAUAACUUGCUGCCUCCAGGUGCCCACCACUGUGGGGACAAGCAGUCAGCAUCACCAAAAGCUGGAGAAGUGGACCUCAGCCAUAAAUAAAGCUUAAUGCAUUAUUGAUGUGGAGAGACUAAAAGGAGCUACAAGGAAGGAAAAGACAACAGGAUUGGCUGUAGAGAAUAGAGGAAGUUACAUGAAUGUUAUACAGACCAACACACCCUGUUUUGAGGGGAUCACACCUGAGCCAGUGGCUGCUACUCUUGUAGCAUACACUGCAUGCAUCACUUGUAGUGACUGCACUCAAGGAAUGGCUGUACACGUCACAGAAUACAUUUCCUACAAGUGCAUUGGUCUUACCUACGUCUGCUUGCCCACUUAUUUGGUGACGUUGGUCCCAACAUGCUAAUCGCUACUGCAGAAGCUUUCCCUGUCCUAAAAAUACUUCUCAGUUUCAUCUCUUGUGUGAACACUGGAAGACAGUGUCUGCUGAUUAAGUAAGCAAAUGGUGAUGUGCCUUCAAGAAAACAUGAUUCAAAACUACAGCAAAUAUAUAUAUCUAUAGGAUUCACAAGGAGAAGGAGGAACACAUGAAUGACAAGGAAAUGUGUGUGUAUGGGGCAUUUGGCUCACACAGCUCUGUACCCACCGCUUUAAUACACCUGAUGUAUUACGCUGUCUUGUUAAGGGUGAGAAGAUGAAUGAUGUCCACUACACUGGCAAAGCCACGAGGGUACCCAAAGCAGAGAGGAGCAAUGCAGUGUGCAGCAGCCAUACACAUGGGCGUAGGCUCCGUGGUUCACACAGGGAGCACACCACAGGCAGUACAAGGACCCUUCUUACCCUUAGCCUUCCAUUAUUCAGGAAUGCUCUAGAUUUCUUACCAUGAAAGCAGUUGCUCAGUGUAAAGCUAGACCCAAGUUGGCAAAAACCCCACUUUCUCUCCGUGCAGCUUGUAGUUACCUCCAUCCACAUUCAUCCCACUCCACCACUUUUACCUCCUCUGCUACAGACACAUCAGCCUCUCUAGCUCAGCAAUCAAGCAUACAGAGUUGACAAGCAAACAAGGGGGUAUCUCAACUCUUUCAGAGGCAUUACUGUAACUCUCUAAGACCAAUUGAACCUUGCCCUCCUCCACUUGUGUUUCCCUUUCCCCUUUAAUUAGUGUGUUUUAUAAAGCAAGUUUUUCCUAUGUAUGGAGAGGGUUUAGAUGUCAUCAGCAUCACCUGCCUCCAGAGACCUGUUCCAAGCACGCUUCCCUGGAGGCACUGUGCACAGAGUCACUCAUCAGCACUGUUUGCUGGGAGUCACAGAAACCAACAGACUGAGUGAAACCUGACAGACUGAGGAAGCAAAACUCAGGGUAAUUGAGGAAUAAAUAGAAAG